rnacentral:rRNA from 1 species
UACGUAGGGCGCAAGCGUUGUCCGGAAUUAUUGGGCGUAAAGAGCUCGUAGGCGGCUUGUCACGUCGGGUGUGAAAGCCCGGGGCUUAACCCCGGGUCUGCAUUCGAUACGGGCAGGCUAGAGUGUGGUAGGGGAGAUCGGAAUUCCUGGUGUAGCGGUGAAAUGCGCAGAUAUCAGGAGGAACACCGGUGGCGAAGGCGGCGUCCUGGACCAACACUGACACUGAGGAGCGAAAGCCAGGGGAGCAAACGGG